rnacentral:lncRNA from 1 species
UUAUCAUCCUGCUUUGAUCAAUGACUUCCAGAAUCAUCGACUUAUGAGAUCACAUAGGAUAUUCGCUCUCCUUAUUAGGAUUGAUCUCUUAUUGAUCACUCACAACCUCCAUACAUACUUCACCAUAUCCAGAACACCCCAUACAAGGAUCACAGAACUAACUUAGGAAGUGAACCAAAAUAUGGAUUCAUGUACAUAAGGUACCA